UUCGAAAUGUCAAUCAUCAAUUUGAACUUGAACGUAAAUUGAUUAACUAUAAACGUAACAUUUCAAUAUUUCGGAAAAUGUCAUUAUAUAAAUCACUCCUUAAAGGAAACUGAUUGAAUCGUAAAAAACCGUUAGGUCAGUUAGGUGAUUUGGAGGUUAAGAAAACGAGACUGUCUUUUUAGUUCUUACUCCGAGGUCUUUGUGGGCACUAUUUUAAUUGUAGUUAAAACCUACACAUUUGGAUUCAAGUAGCAAUUUCUAUUCCUUUCUUUGGAAGGUAUCUCGGGUAUAACAGAAGCAGAAUCGAAUGGAAUGCAGCAAUUAUUACAUCAGGUGGAGUACCGGAAACACUACAUUUAAUAUCAGUCUAUCACUGUCCGUUUUUAAAGUUCAAGUUUGAUAGUUUUUGAAAAUUCAAUUACCUAUUGGUAGUUGUCGCCACCUCGUCGCUGUGUAUGGAUUGAAAUUUAAAAAAAAGACUCCAACCUCAGAGCUUUAUUGUAAAAAAGUUACA